GCAAUGAGGUGGACUCGAGUCGUGUUCUAUGUUUUAAUUGUUACACUUUUAGUAGAGAUUGUGUUGGCUGACUUGAGUAAUUUCAUGGGCAAACUUUCGUCCGAUGUAGGGGAUGCAGUUGGAAGUGCGUGGCAUUCACUUGUGACCGCGAUCAAGCAACCAGUGAAGAUAAGAAGAUUAGGGAGAUUGAGAAAAAGAAAAAGGACAACACCAGCUAUAAAAGCCUCUACUGAUUCUGAUCACCAGGCCUGGUUAUUGUCUACACCAGGAAAAUCUGUUCCUUCAGUUCAACUGGUGCUCCCAAUCUUAAUGGAGCCUGAUUGGAAUGCGUGGAGGAAUUUGAUGCCGCUGGAUCUUAACUACAAAAGGCAAGAACAGAAGACAGCACAUAGCUGGAAAUACGAGCACCUUACCGCACAGGUGACGCCACAAGAGGAAAGCAAUAACUUCGGAGUUUUGUAUUUUGUUUGAUGAUUUGUGAAGUAGAAAGUAUUUUUUUAAUUUUAAUAAAAUAAAUAUCACA